rnacentral:tRNA from 1 species
CCGAGUGUAGUGCAGUAGCAGCACGCGCCGUUCGGGCCGGCGAAGUCGGAGGUGCAAUUCCUCCCACUCGGA